GAUGAACGCUGGCGGCGUGCCUAAUACAUGCAAGUCGAGCGAACAGAUGAGGAGCUUGCUCCUUUGACGUUAGCGGCGGACGGGUGAGUAACACGUGGAUAACCUACCUAUAAGACUGGGAUAACUUCGGGAAACCGGAGCUAAUACCGGAUAACAUUUUGAACCGCAUGGUUCAAUAGUGAAAGAUGGUUUUGCUGUCACUUAUAGAUGGAUCCGCGCCGCAUUAGCUAGUUGGUAAGGUAACGGCUUACCAAGGCAACGAUGCGUAGCCGACCUGAGAGGGUGAUCGGCCACACUGGAACUGAGACACGGUCCAGACUCCUACGGGAGGCAGCAGUAGGGAAUCUUCCGCAAUGGGCGAAAGCUUGACGGAGCAACGCCGCGUGAGUGAUGAAGGUCUUCGGAUCGUAAAACUCUGUUAUUAGGGAAGAACAAAUGUGUAAGUAACUAUGCACGUCUUGACGGUACCUAAUCAGAAAGCCACGGCUAACUACGUG
rnacentral:rRNA from 1 species